ACCCGCUGAACUUAAGCAUAUCAAUAAGCGGAGGAAAAGAAACCAACAGGGAUUGCCCUAGUAACGGCGAGUGAAGCGGCAACAGCUCAAAUUUGAAAUCUGGCGUCUUUGGCGUCCGAGUUGUAAUUUGCAGAGGGCGCUUUGGCAUUGGCAGCGGUCCAAGUUCCUUGGAACAGGACGUCACAGAGGGUGAGAAUCCCGUACGUGGUCGCUAGCCUUUACCGUGUAAAGCCCCUUCGACGAGUCGAGUUGUUUGGGAAUGCAGCUCUAAAUGGGAGGUAAAUUUCUUCUAAAGCUAAAUACUGGCCAGAGACCGAUAGCGCACAAGUAGAGUGAUCGAAAGAUGAAAAGCACUUUGGAAAGAGAGUUAAAAAGCACGUGAAAUUGUUGAAAGGGAAGCGCUUGCAGCCAGACUUGCCUGUAGUUGCUCAUCCGGGUUUUUACCCGGUGCACUCUUCUAUAGGCAGGCCAGCAUCAGUUUGGGCGGUUGGAUAAAGGCCUUGGGAAUGUAGCUUCUUUCGGGGAGUGUUAUAGCCCUCGGUGCAAUGCAGCCUACCGGGACCGAGGACCGCGCUUCGGCUAGGAUGCUGGCGUAAUGGUUGU
rnacentral:rRNA from 1 species